AUUGAACGUUGGCGGCAUGGAUUAGGCAUGCAAGUCGAGCGCGAAACGUAGCAAUACGUGGAGAGCGGCGAAAGGGAGAGGAAUAUGUGGGAACCUACCUUCGGGCCUGGAAUAGCGGCGGGAAACUGCCGGUAAUGCCAGAUAACGUCCCCGGACCAAAGGUGUGAUUCCGCCUGGAGAUGGGCCCACAUCCUAUCAGCUUGUUGGUGAGGUAACGGCUCACCAAGGCUAAGACGGGGAUGGGGGGUGAGAGCAUGGCCCCACCCACUGGGACUGAGACACUGCCCAGACACCUACGGGUGGCUGCAGUCGAGAAUCUUCGGCAAUGAGCGCAAGCUGGACCGAGCGAUGCCGCGUGCGGGAUGAAGGCCCUCGGGUUGUAAACCUCUGUCGUAGGGGAAUAAAGGUCGGUGGGUUCUCCCAUCGAUUUGAAUGAUCCUAGGAGGAAGGACGGGCUAAGCUCGUGCCAGCAGCCGCGGUAACAC
rnacentral:rRNA from 1 species